UGGAAAAUAAAAACUUUUUUUUUUUUAAAAAAAGAACAGGACAGGGUAAAAAUAUUCUGCCAAGUAAUAUGAAAUCAUCCUCCUUCUUUCCUAGUCAAACCAGUUUGGACCCAAGGUUUAUAUUCUGUUUGGAGAUAUGCCCGGAGAUGGAUUCUUUUUCUAAUUCUGCUGGUUCCAAUUGCCUUUUAUUGCUGGAAGCAAAAGAGCACAUCUCAAUCACAGGAACAAUUUCAACUAAUGGAAAAGAAAGAGAAAAAUCAUCUUUCAGUGAUGGAGCCUCAAGCAGCAACACCCUCAUCAGUCAAGUUUCCCCCGGACUCUGAGGCCACCUACAGCAAUGUUCAGGACUUCUCCACUCAGAAGAACCAUCUUAGAGAAGAGGAAGAAGAGGGGCCACUGUAUAUAAACUUGAUUGGAGGAAAAUAAGAUAACUCUCUUGGUGCAGUCUCUUACUAGGCUCAGACAUGCACAUGACCUGUGAAGAAAUGAUGAGGUACUUCAGUUUAUGGCAGAAGAGAAAGUCCAUCCAAAAGGGGGAAAUCUUUGGCCCCACCCUCUUCUACAAGUCUCAGAUCUAUCUAGACUUGAGCCUGCUGGGAAGAUUUUUGUUACUGCUUUCAACAACUUUUUUCUGUA